GUUUCUUGGCGACCACGGCGGUUGCGAUGAUAUGGUCCCCUAAAAUCAAACGACGUCGUUUGAUAUUUCAUCCCCAAAAUUGAAACAUGAACCCUAAUUCCUUAAUCGGCAUGAAAUGUCGACUUCUCCUUCAGCUUCAAACGUGUCGAUCCCUUUCAUUGGCCUUCUCACGCGAAAUUGAGAGCAGCUAGGUAACGGGAAAGUGAGAGUGAUAUAGCUUGAGAAGAGGGUUUUCGGAUUCGUCGAGUUUGGAGCGAUUGUGGUCAAUUGAUAUGCUUACUCCUCCUGGAGUAGUUGAUGCUUACUCCUCCUCAGCUGCGACUGCGACGGCGUCUUAUGUGACGGUGGAUACGACGCCGUAUUACAUAAUGGAUAGGAAUGCUCAGAGCUUGGCUUGGCGAGAGGCUGUUGGUAAAUAUGGCACAGAUCCUCUUGCAAUUACAGGAGCUGUAUGUUGUUUCUCUUUCCUUUCAUAGAUAAUCUGAAUAUUUAGAUGAGGAAGGCUAUGAAUUUUUCUCCUUCUAUUUGGGAAAUCAGUGGAUCAAGAUGAUGACUUUUAUGGACGACUUAGUGUGCUUCACGUUCACGCCUGUGUGAGUUUAGGAUCUGUAAAUAAAGGCAGGUCCUUUGCAACAAGUUCUUGAUGCGUCAGUGAAUUUUCAGUUUUAAAGUAUUAGUAGUACUCCUCUGUGAUUGCUCUGUUUUGCUUAGACAUCAACGUAUAAUGUCUUGAGAUUCUUGUUUGCACAAUUGAUAUGUUUGCUUUAUAUUUCAUUCCGUGCAAGGUCCUUUAAGGUGAUCUGCUUAUGCUUCAUACUUGCUCUAGAGAAGGAUACGCCAUGUAAACAAGUUCUAGGAUCCGAAGAAAUCGUCUCGAUAUUUAUUUGCUUAUUAUCUUGGCGGUGUGCUCAAUUUGACGGUUAAUUGAUAAUUGCUGGUAUUUUUUUUUUUUUUUUUUUUGUAAUUGAGGAUGAAUCAGGGUGCAACAGAGCAGCCUUAUAGCAUAUACCCGGGCUUCUCUUGUCCAAGCCACAUAGAGUAAGCUCAACUUCCUGGAUUUGUCUCACCGAAGAACAGUCAAAGAAGGCGAAGGUUGUUCGAUCUGCUUACUUUGAGUUAAGUUUGUAAGGUUGACUGUAACGGUCCGAAUGUAUCGAGCAACAUAAGUUGGGGAAGAAACACUUAAAGAACUUCGGAGAAGUUAAAAACAUGCUUACCCUUACCGUGUAACAUAGGUUCUUCUUCUUCGGCUGGACCAACCAUUGCAAGGCUAAGAAGAACGGGAAGAAAGGUGCGGAAUUAACAGAAGGGUUUAGAAUCAAAGAGACGGAAAGUCAUGGAAUGUGGGGCCACAAAUGAGUCUAAUUAGAUUGU
rnacentral:lncRNA from 1 species